rnacentral:misc_RNA from 1 species
UCUCGGCUUAUCACCGGCAGUCCCCCUAGAGUGCCCAACUAAAUGGUGGCAACUAAGGGCGAGGGUUGCGCUCGUUGCGGGACUUAACCCAACAUCUCACGACACGAGCUGACGACAGUCAUGCAGCACCUGUGUUCCGGUUCCCUUUCGGGCACUCCUGCAUUUCUGCAGGAUUCCUAGCAUGUCAAGGGUAGGUAAGGUUUUUCGCGUUGCAUCGAAUUAAACCACAUCAUCCACCGCUUGUGCGGGCCCCCGUCAAUUCCUUUGAGUUUUAAUCUUGCGACCGUACUCCCCAGGCGGAGAGCUUAAUGCGUUAGCUGCGCCACUGAAGGGUAAACCCUCCAACGGCUAGCUCUCAUAGUUUACGGCGUGGACUAC